UACGGAGGGUGCAAGCGUUACUCGGAUUUAUUGGGCGUAAAGAGCGCGUAGGCGGGGCAGCAAGUCUGGUGUGAAAUCCCUCGGCUCAACCGAGGAACUGCGCUGGAAACUACUGCUCUUGAGUACGGGAUAGGGAGGUGGAAUUCCCAGUGUAGAGGUGAAAUUCGUAGAUAUUGGGAGGAACACCAGCGGCGAAAGCGACCUCCUGGACCGAUACUGACGCUGAGGCGCGAAAGCGUGGGGAGCAAAC
rnacentral:rRNA from 1 species